rnacentral:tRNA from 1 species
CAAAGAAUAGUUUAGCUAGAAUCCUGGCUUUGGGAGUCAGGGGUGGGGGUUAAAGCCCCUCUUCUUUGA